AGCUGAAAGAGCUCAUCUAUGAGGAGACGGCACGCUUCCAGGCCAACUACCAGGGCUCCUGAGAGGGACAGCCUUCACAGAGAAUAACCGAGCAGCAUGGAGUCUCGGAUAAAGAUAACUCCAGACAACCUGCGAAAACAUAUACAUGCAUAUAUACAU